GUUUGGGAGUUUGUUUUGUGUUGGAGAGUUUUGUGUUUUAGAAGAAAAGAGUAUCUUAUUUAAAAAAGGCGUGGAACAUGACCAUUUAAUUUAGACCGGAGAUGGCUGUUCAACUUACUUCCCAGAAGAACAACCAGGGCCACAAAACUAAACCCUGCCCAGGACCGGGAGACUCCUAGAGACCAGCGCAGGAGCACCUAUGAAAUAUUUGUCUUUAUUUAUAACUUAUGUUUUACUGUGUGUGAGGAACUUUUGUUAGUUUUGCCUUUUUAUUUUCGCCUCCUCCUUUGUCAUCGUUGUACUGGUGGGGGAUUUAUUUUGACUAUUUUUAUUUCUUUCCUUUUUUUUGUUCUGUUUUGAUUGGAAUAUUGGACGGUGGCCACCUUCGGCCAGAUAAGUAAAAAUCCUGCUGCGGGGAAA